GUGGGAGGAUCCUAUGAGCCCAGGAGUUUGAUGCUGCAGUUAACUAUGAUCAUGCCACUGCACUCCAGCCUGAGUGACAGAGCAAGA
rnacentral:miRNA from 1 species